AUGGAGAGGGAGACAGGGAGACAGAAAACAGCGAAAGACAACAGUUUCUAGACUCCCCUACUAGCUGACUACAUUAAAAAUAACUUUCAUCUGUCAACUGUGCUUUAAUUAACAACAACAAAAACUUACUUGAUGAGAAAUUGUCUUAGAAUAAGAAAAUUGGCAUUUCCAGGUAUACUAAGAAUGUUCACAGUUCCAGGAUCAGCCCUGGAAUUGUCCAAUCCAGUUACUGAUUUGCAUGUUUCUGAAAUCUUAAAGGAUUUUCCCCAAAACCUGGCUGAGAUUUUUUUCUCUAAGUCAUUCAAAUAUAUUUCCCUCUAAAAAUAUAAGCUUUAUACAUAAUACCAA